rnacentral:rRNA from 1 species
GAUGAACGCUGGCGGCGUGCCUAACACAUGCAAGUCGAGCGAACAGACGAGGAUCUUGCUCCUCGGUCGUUAGCGGCGGACGGGUGAGUAACACGUGGAUAACCUACCUAUAAUACUGGGAUAUCUUGGGGACACCGGAGCUAAUACCAGAUAAUCUAUUGCACCGCGUGGUGGGAUGGAAAAAUACGGUGUUUGUGGCACGUAUAGAUGGAUACGCGCCGUAUUAGCUAGUAGGUAGGUUAACAGCUUACCAAGGCGACGAUGCGUAGCCGAACGGAGAGGGUGAUAGGCGACACUGGAAGUGAGACACGGUCAUGACUACUGCGGGAGGCAGCAGUAGGCAAUGUGACGCAGUGGGCGAAAGCAUGACGGAGCAACCCCGAGUGAGAGAUGAAGGUCUCGGGUGCGUAAUACUCUGUUAUUAGGGAUGAACAAAUGUGUAAGUAACUGUGCCCGUCUUGACGGUAACUAGUAAGAAAGCACCGGCUAACUACGUG